CGGCGUGUAGCGCAGCCUGGUAGCGCACCACGUUCGGGUCGUGGGGGUCGCAGGUUCAAAUCCUGCUACGCCGACCA
rnacentral:tRNA from 1 species